CUCUGGCUAAGUCGACAAUUUCAUCUGCAUGACAUUAAAACUGGAAACAGAUCCAUCAAUAAUAUAACACCAAAAGGACAAUCAUCAGACUGACAACAAAAACAACCGCUCUUAUCCGAGAGAGUGGUUUCCCGCCUGAGCCCCCAAUUGUUACUUGGGGGGCAAGAGCGAACAAAAAUGUAUGUCUCCAUCUUCAUCUUGUUUACGCUUGUUGCCCUCCUUGACCAGACACAGCGACACGCGCUGGCCAAGGAGGCUUUCUUGUAUUUGUAAUAUCCUUCUUCUAAGUCUUAUAAACUU